GACGAACCGCCCGACCGUUAUUCGGAAUCACUGGGCUUAAAGGGAGCGUAGGCGGGCUGCCAAGUCCGGGGUGAAAUCCUCCAGCUUAACUGGAGAACUGCCUCGGAUACUGGAAGUCUCGAGGAGGGUAGGGGCAAGUGGAACCGUGGGUGGAGCGGUGAAAUGCGUUGAUAUCCAUGGGAACUCCGGUGGCGAAGGCGACUUGCUGGACCCUUUCUGACGCUGAGGCUCGAAAGCCAGGGGAGCAAACGGG
rnacentral:rRNA from 1 species